rnacentral:lncRNA from 1 species
GGUUACUGAAUGAAGGGCUGUGAACAUCUUCAACCUCCUUCAGGCAUUCAUCAUCGAUAUCGUCCGAAACCUCAUCAACAUUGGGGUCACUAAAAUCUUCAACGUCCUGAUCAGUAUCUUCACCAUUAUUGGUCAUUUCUCCGACAUCUGCCUUUAUGCUUAUUAUCACCUUCGAAUGUAUUUAUAGACAGGGAUCGAG